rnacentral:rRNA from 1 species
AGUGAACGCUGGCGGUAGGCCUAACACAUGCAAGUCGAACGGCAGCACAGGAGAGCUUGCUCUCUGGGUGGCGAGUGGCGGACGGGUGAGGAAUACAUCGGAAUCUACUCUGUCGUGGGGGAUAACGUAGGGAAACUUACGCUAAUACCGCAUACGACCUACGGGUGAAAGCAGGGGACCUUCGGGCCUUGCGCGAUUGAAUGAGCCGAUGUCGGAUUAGCUAGUUGGCGGGGUAAAGGCCCACCAAGGCGACGAUCCGUAGCUGGUCUGAGAGGAUGAGCAGCCACACUGGAACUGAGACACGGACCAGACUCCUACGGGAGGCAGCAGUGGGGAAGAUUGGACAAUGGGCGCAAGCCUGAUCCAGCCAUACCGCGUGGGUGAAGAAGGCCUUCGGGUUGUAAAGCCCUUUUGUUGGGAAAGAAAUCCAGCUGGCUAAUACCCGGUUGGGAUGACGGUACCCAAAGAAUAAGCACCGGCUAACUUCGUGCCAGCCGCCGCCGUAA